ensembl:lncRNA
CCAGCACUCACAAGAGUGAACACAGUGGUUCUGUAACCACACCGCUGAAGAAGUAGAAACAAUUGAUAGAUCCUUAUGGCUCACUGGCCAGCUAGUCCAGCCUAAGCAGUGAGCUCCUAGUUCAGUGAGAAUCCCUUUCUCAAAUAAUAAGGUGUGGUAUGCUUGGGUAAGGACACCAGUGUUAACCACUAGCCGCUGCGUGCAUAUGUACAAACACCACCCCACACAAACUAAAACCCACUUUUAACAAACUCCAACUCAUUCUACUUGGCUAGGGGUAAGCUGUAUGGUCACCAUCAAGGCAGCAAAAUGAUGAAGGGAGGAAGUCACUUUCCAUUCAGCUUUGGUCCCUGUGUAUCACUGCUUAACUGUCCCACAGAGAACAACCCACAAGAAAGGCAGAUUUUCAACUCAGCACACACACAGAUUUUUGCUUUAUAAAAUAAUACAGCUGACACUUUCUAUUUUGCUUCAUUGCUCUAGGUGGCUCAAUUGCUCUAGAAGGAUGAAUUAAUUGUUCCAUAUGGACGAAUUACUCUAGAUGGCUCAAUUGCUCUGGGUGGCUGAAUUGCUCUAGAAGGAUGAAAUGCUUUAGAUGGCUGAAUUGCUCUAGAAGGAUGAAUUGCUCUAAAUGGAUGAAUUGCUCUAGAAGGAUGAAUUGCUCUAGGUGGCUAAACUGCUCUAGAAGGAUGAAUUGCUCUAAAUGGAUGAGUUGCUUGCUCUAGAUGGAUAUUAUAACCCACUUGUGAGCAGCUACAUUCUGAACAGGGCUGUAGACUUUUGGCUUUCUGACUUCUUCCAGGGCAGCAUGGCCUUUCGGGGCUCUCAGUCCUUCUCUUAGGGCCCUGAUGAGUGGCUUUUUGUCUCCCUACAGAGUUGCAUGUUUGGCACAACAGGAUAGGGGAUGCCUGUGGCAGGCUGUUAACACCACUACCUCACAAUGCCCUGGUAGCCCUACUUUGCCCUGUCAUGCACCUGUGAAACCAUCACUUGGGGACCAAGAGACUGUGGUGUAUGUGUUUAGCCCUACACUGUUCCACCUGUUAACAGUUGCCAACUCUGGGUGGGAUUUGAACUCAUCUCUCAUCCUAACUCCAGAUGACAUGGCAGAAGACAGGGAUUCUGGCGGUUGGGUCCACAGCCCAUCCCUUUUUUUUUUUAACAGCUCUGCCACCCCACCCCCAAGUUCUAAGGGAUGGGUCUGCCUCCCUCCUUCUAGCUCUGCCUUAGGGCUGAGUGUCCUGCUGCCAGGCCUGCAGGGUGUGUUUGAAGGAGAGGUCUCUUGCAUUUCAAAGUGAUCUCCAUCUUUAGUUUUCUUCCCAAGAGGAGAUUCUGGAGUUAGACUAAGUCUCUGUGGAGACUAAACACUGCUGUUUCUGCCUGUGUGGUGCUGGGAGCCCCUGUGACAAGAUGCUUCCUUUUUGCUUAGGAGCUGCUUGGCCCCAGUCAUUCCAGUGUAACACCUAUGUAGCCCACAUGCUCUUGGAACUUCUCCACAGUCCCUCUCUCAUGGUUAGCAUAUUGGCUUACAGAAAACAGCCAUGCUUUCCCUUUUGAUAGCAGCUUAAGGCUAUUCCCAGGUGCUGAGAAACUAUGGAGUGACCAACCCCAUUGGUCCCCUGAGACCUUCCCCCAUCAUCAGCACACAGCUCCUGGACAUUGUCACACAUGUGGAGAACCUCUCCCCUCAGUGUGCCCUGCAGGGACACUGGCUCAAAGAGCCAGGCUGACACAGAGCAAGCAGUAUGGCCAGGGAAGGCCUGCACUUUAGUUCAGAUUAGAGAAGAAAGUUUGGCUCUUGCAAUGGGAAUAAAAGACAUGAGGGAGAAGAAAUUAGCAGGUGUUUAACUCCAGUUGGAUGUUUCUACCUUGCUUUCCCUGUGUGCUGAAAUACCACCUCAACACUUCAUCUUAAGUGAGAAGUGACUUAUGGUAACAGUGAGGAUGGCAGGGGAGAGAAGUGGCUGUGACAGUGAUGGUGAGUAUGGCAGGGGACAUGUCUCAGUGAUGGUGAGUAUGGCAGGGGACAUGUCUCAGUUAGGAAGUGCUUGCUGCACAGUCCUGUUGUUCAGUCCCCAACACCACAUAAAGGUGAGCUCAGCAGGAUGCAUCUGUAAAUCCCAGCACUGUGGAAGCAGAGACCAGAGACUCCCUGGGGCUUGUUGACCAGCCCACCUAACCAAAUCAGCAAGCCCCAGGUUCAUCGAGAGACCCUGCUUCAAAAAAAUAAGGUGGAGUGCAAUUAAGGAAGAAGCUGGAUAAGGACUUCUGGCCUCUACAUUUGAGGGGCAUCCAGGAGCACAGACACUGAGAUAGACAAUAAAUGGGACCUCCUGAAACUGAGAAGCUUCUGUAAGGGAAACGACACCGUCAGCAAGACAAAACAGCAGCCCACAGAAUGGGAAAAAUAUUCACCAACCCCACAUCUGACAGACGGCUGAUUUCCAAAAUAUACACUUUUUACUCAAGAAGUAAAAAGUAGGGUACAGAACUAAAUAGAGAAUUCUCAAUAGAGGAAUUUUAAAUGGCUGAAAGACACAUAAGGAAGGUGUUCAACAUCCUUAGCCAUCAUGGAAAUGCAAAUCAAAACAACUCUGAGAUACCAUUUUACUCCUGUCACAAUGGCUAAAAUUAAAAACACCAAUGACAGUUCAUGUUGGAGAGGAUGUGGAGAAAGGGGAACACUCCUCCACUGCUGGUGGGAGUGCCAACUUGUACAGCCACUUUGGAAAUCAGUAUGGUGACUCCUCAGGAAAAUGGGAAUCAGUCCACCUCAAGAUCCAGCAAUUCCACUCUUAGGCAUAUACCCAAAAGAUGCACAUUCAGACAACAAGGACAUCUGUUCAACCAUGUUCAUAGCAGCAUUGUUUGUAAUAGCCAGAACCUGGAAGCAACGAUGACCUGUUGUUACUCCCUAUUUACUCUUUUUCUGCAUACACUUAGUAGUGGGCUCUGUCCCUGCUCCAGUUCUUUGUUCUGGAAAACUGAAAACUAAGGCAUGUGACUGGGACUCAGAUCCACAUCUAUGAUAACACUCUGUACCUGCUGCAGGAUAAUGCCUGAAGAGUGCCAGUCAUAGCAAAAUACACCCUCCAGGGCUGAGGAAUCCCACUACAGUCCUAACAUCCAGGCACGCUGUGUUUCAGCCCCUUGGACUGCUUGCUCCUGGAAACAGAACCAACAACUCCUUGAACAAAGGGAAAGCUGGUAUGAGCUUGGCUCAGGUGAUUGCUGCUCAGGUCAGUUGUCUCCAAAUGUCAAAGCAAUUAAAUGUGUGAACCUCACCAUGGAUGCAUUUCGAGGGCUGUGAAAGUCACAGCUGAGGGUGGAGGAGCUUCGCCUGCACACCUCAACAAAGGCCCUCAUUGGGCCAAACAACUGAAUAUUCCUCUCCAAAGAAACCAUCCCUGUUCCACAGAUCAGCCCCACAAGUGUCUUUCUUACGGGGACUCACUCUCCAGAUGGAGGAGCCACGUACACACUUCACCCCCAACAUUUGGAACUGAACAUAAAGAAUUUCCCUGCACUUGAAAGCAAUGCAGUUAGCAGGUCAUCUUUCAACACUUGGCCGUGUUUUCUCCACUCAUGCCUUCCUGAUGAAUUAAGUGCUUAUGGAAGUCGAAGGACUGAAAACUAGCAACUGACUUUCUCAGAGGAUCUGCUUGCCAGACGUGGCCAAUGCAGCAGCACCAGCAUCAGGCACGCUUGCACAUUGCUCCUCCACAGCACUGUGGCACAUGCUCCGUGCUGUCCUGAGCUUUGCAGUAGGUAGGUGACCUGGCUUCCUUGUCCCAAUGGUUUUCAAAUCAGUUUGUACAAGGCCUGCUAAUUGAAUUCAGUUGUUUGUCAUCUUCAACUCCUUGCUGUCCACAGAGCUGAACUCAUUUCAUCCGUCAUCCAAGAAUAAGAAGUGACCUUUUUAUUACCAGCUGACAUGGGCUCACCUUUAUCCCAGAAUUUUUUUAAUGAAAUGUAUACAAUGUAAUUAAAGCAAUGUAGUCACGUCAUCUGUUAGAAUUGGUUAGAAGAUAAAGGAGAAGAGGUGGCUACAGUCACUGACUUUUUGCUGAGUGUGUCAGCCUCCUCACAAAACACACAUGUGUCUGUUCAGCAAGAGGAUCCUGUGUGUUGCUGGUGGCUUAACAAUUACAAAAUAUUGUAAUUAAAUGUCUGAAUGCUCCCUUCCCUUCCCCAUUACAAAUGAUCGGGGGAACUUGAUUAAUUUUUGCUGUUUCCUGUGACACUACCCUCCAGGGGAAACGACCAGCUGAAUGCCAAAGUCAGAGCCAAUUAAACUGCUAUCCCACUGCAGCAAGACCAGGCCCAUUUUUCAGGCGAAGCUCAAGCAAGCUUGUCAAGACUCCAGGGCUCAGCACCUCUAAACACCAUAGGCCUACUGCCAGCCAUGGAGGGUGUUCUGUGGAUACUGAGACAUGAGAGGAAGGGGAAUUAAUUGAUGGAUCCACCAAGGCACACACCAGGGUGCUGCCUUCUGGGGUGUAGCAUUAAGUAAACUCUGCCUCCUGGCACCGGUUCCACACAGGGAUGACCAGGAAGAGGUCCUCAGGUUUGUCACUGUUGGAGGACAGCCAGCCAUGCGUGCCUUGCUCCCUUCUGUGCCCACAGGCAACAUUUCCAAGAGUCCACACUGUAUCUGCAACCAUUCUUACCAAUUCAGCCCUAACAUGUGAAUGGUUGGGAGCCAGGUGCAUGAAGAAACAGCUGCCUUCCCUACAUCAGCCUCCACAAGGCAUGAUGGGUGGUCUCUGUCCACACUCUUCUUUAAAACAAAAAAUGCUCAAGGAAAUACAUAACAAUUAAAAAAACAAACAAACAUGUUCUCUCGAAGCCACUUCAAGCAGCAGCUCCCAUUAGAGUGACGGCAUCACAUUUAGGACUAGCCACACUGGAGGCUUUGGCUGCCAGAUGCAAAGGAGCCCAAGAACAUGGAGCUGAACCUCUAUUUGGGAUCUCAUUAGACUGUUGCUCACCAAGUUUGAAGAGAAAGGCCAGAUAGGCCUUGCCCUAAGGAGAGCUUCCACCAAGGCCUUUCCAGCAAACCUCCUUCUCCUUUCUCUCCCAGGAGCAUAAGACUUGUUCUGCUCCUCCCUGGUCUGAGAGCUUGUCCCUUACUCCAAAAGGGUCAUUUUCCUGCUUGUCCUCUCACACUUGUAGAUGACUCUCCAUGAACCCAAGAGUGUCACAGAACUGUAGAGAAGGUCC